GUGCCUGUAGCGCAAAGGAUAGCGCGUUGGACUUCUAAUAGAAAGGUCGUAGAAUCAAUUACUACCUGAGAUG